CUAAAUAUAUGAUUUGUGAGAAAACCCUCUUCCUAUUUGGACCAUAUUUCCUCCUUGCUCCGUUCACCGAAGUUAAGAACGACGCGCUCCUAUGAACCAAGAGAGAUAGAGAGGCUAAGAGAGAGAAAGUGCAUAUACAGAGAAAGACACAGGGAGAUUGAGAGGCAUAGGGUGGAGGUACGCGGCGGCGUUUAGGGUUCUGAUGAAGUCACUUGAUUCGGGCCAAGAAACAUCUCUGGUGACUCAAUAUAGGGUUCCGACCAAGAGAACCAGGGUUCCGACGGUAGCUGUGACGAAAAACUUGGCAGCGGCAUCAACAGAAACAGAUUACGGCGAAAGCUAGGGUUCCGAGGAAGAUCUGGUAACCCCCCCCCCCCCCCCCGCAUGCUCCUUUUCGGUUAGAUCGACGAUCAAUGAUGUCUCAUAGGUUGAAUUUUAUUGGACCGGCGAAUAUGCGACUUUCAGUUAAACUCUGAUAUGCGGCGUGCUCUCCUCCUCCCGUAACGAAGAUGUCACUUUGAGGCCUUGUACAACGGUAGUGUAGCUGCAGCAUCCGCUGGAGCAUUCUUGGGGUAGUUCUAUGCGCCUUCUUUACACUUUCUCCACCAUUGAAGAGUUCUGGAGGGAUCAAUGGUUGCAAAUGUUAUUUGGUGAAGGUUCCGGAGAAAGAUAAAGAUUUGAUUUUUACUUCAAUUUCAUUUUGGUGAAGGAAAAUAUAGAGAAAAAAGAUUGCAGAAUGAUUGCCCGUAUAAAAAGAGUAUCAUGUGCAUAUGAUUCGUUUUUAAUGAAUUCGUUAGUCUAGGUAUUUAUGGGCAAAGUGCAUAUGGUUUACUGGUUUAGAGAUAAAUCGAGGCAUGUAUCUUAGAUGCCCCUGAUAUGAUUUAGAAUGCUGAUAUAUUCACAAAGGGUCUUCCACGUGUGUUAUAUGAAGAUUUCAGAUCCUAUCUCAACAUUCGGCCUCCUCCCAUUUCGAUUGCGUGUGGGUAUUAGAAAUAUAUUGUGAUAUCCUGUAUUGUUAGAAACAUAUUUGGUAGUCAAUGUGAAAUAUAUAUUACGGUUGAGAAUGUGAAUAACAUAAGAAGAUUGCUUUACCA